GGCAGCAUCUCAUUGGCCAUUUCUGACCCUGUUACGGUCAUAACAGGGUUGUCAUGGUGAUGUCAUACAGGUCCCCGGAAGUACACAAUGUCAAUGAAGUUGAUUGAUUUCUAAUUUUCCCAGGUCAGAAGCGUCCCAGUCCAGGUGUGUCUGUUUCUCUAGUCGCUAGUGUCUGUAUCUCCCAGUCCAGGUGUGUCUGUUUCUCUAGUUGCUAGUGUCUGUAUCUCCCAGUCCAGGUGUGUCUGUUUCUCUAGUUGCUAGUGUCUGUAUCUCCCAGUCCAGGUGUGUAUGUUUCUCUAGUUGCUAGUGUCUGUAUCUCCCAGUCCAGGUGUGUAUGUUUCUCUGGUUGCUAGUGUCUGUAUCUCCCAGUCCAGGUGUGUCUGUUUCUCUAGUUGCUAGUGUCUGUAUCUCCCAGUCCAGGUGUGUCUGUUUCUCUAGUUGCUAGUGUCUGUAUCUCCCAGUCCAGGUGUGUAUGUUUCUCUAGUUGCUAGUGUCUGUAUCUCCCAGUCCAGGUGUGUCUGUUUCUCUAGUUGCUAGUGUCUGUAUCUCCCAGUCCAGGUGUGUAUGUUUCUCUAGUUGCUAGUGUCUGUAUCUCCCAGUCCAGGUGUGUAUGUUUCUCUGGUUGCUAGUGUCUGUAUCUCCCAGUCCAGGUGUGUCUGUUUCUCUAGUUGCUAGUGUCUGUAUCUCCCAGUCCAGGUGUGUCUGUUUCUCUAGUUGCUAGUGUCUGUAUCUCCCAGUCCAGGUGUGUAUGUUUCUCUAGUUGCUAGUGUCUGUAUCUCC